UAUCCAGGGUUCAAAAGUCGAAAGUCCGAUGCAAGCUUGCUUGCAAGAGGACUUAUGACCUUGGAACCCGCAAAAACAUGAAUAAGAAGCCAUUUUUCGCAGAAAAAUGAGCGGAUUAUUCAUGUUUUUCAGGAUUGUGAGAGCACGAAGUGCGAAACAAUCCGAUA
rnacentral:sRNA from 1 species